rnacentral:rRNA from 1 species
AUCUACGGCCAUGCAAUCCUGAACAUGCCUGAUUCCAUCUGAUCUUGGAAGCUAAGCAGGGUCAGGCCUGGUUAGUACUUGGAUGGGAGGCCACCAAGGAAGACCAGGUGCUGUAGGCG